rnacentral:rRNA from 1 species
UACGUAGGGGGCGAGCGUUGUCCGGAUUUAUUGGGCGUAAAGAGCUCGUAGGCGGUUUGGUAAGUUGGAUGUGAAAUCUCCAGGCUCAACUUGGAGGGGUCAUUCGAUACUGCCAUGGCUAGAGUUCGGUAGGGGAGUGUGGAAUUCCUGGUGGAGCGGUGAAAUGACGCAGAUAUCAGGAGGAACACCCGUAGCGAAGGCGGCACUCUGGGCCGGAACUGACGCUGAGGAGCGAAAGCGUGGGGAGCGAACAGG